rnacentral:rRNA from 1 species
GACGUGGGGUGCAAGCGUUUGUCCGGAUUUACUGGGCGUAAAGCGUGCGCAGGCGGUUUUCCAAGACAGAUGUGAAAUCCCCGGGCUCAACCUGGGAAUGGCAUUUUGUGACUGGAAGGCUAGAGUUGUGUCAGAGGGGGGUAGAAUUCCGACGUGUAGCAGUGAAAUGCGUAGAGAUGUGGAGGAAUACCGAUGGCGAAGGCAGCCCCCUGGGAUAACACUGACGCUCAUGCACGAAAGCGUGGGGAGCAAACAGG